AACGAACGCUGGCGGCAUGCCUAACACAUGCAAGUCGAACGAGACCUUCGGGUCUAGUGGCGCACGGGUGCGUAACGCGUGGGAACCUGCCCUUAGGUUCGGAAUAACUCCCCGAAAGGGGUGCUAAUACCGGAUAAUGUCUUCGGACCAAAGAUUUAUCGCCUUUGGAUGGGCCCGCGUUGGAUUAGCUAGUUGGUAGGGUAAAAGCCUACCAAGGCGACGAUCCAUAGCUGGUCUGAGAGGAUGAUCAGCCACACUGGGACUGGGACACGGCCCAGACUCCUACGGGAGGCAGCAGUGGGGAAUAUUGGACAGUGGGCGAAAGCCUGAUCCAGCAAUGCCGCGUGAGUGAUGAAGGCCUUAGGGUUGUAAAGCUCUUUUACCCGGGAUGAUAAUGACAGUACCGGGAGAAUAAGCUCCGGCUAACUCCGG
rnacentral:rRNA from 1 species